AUUCAACUGAUGAGUCCCAAAUAGGCAGGAACGCGCGUCCAGGAU
rnacentral:hammerhead_ribozyme from 1 species